rnacentral:rRNA from 1 species
GAUGAACGCUAGCGGCAGGCUUAAUACAUGCAAGUCGAACGGUAAGGUCUCUUCGGAGAUACACGAGUGGCGCACGGGUGCGUAACGCGUAUGCAACCUACCUUUAACUGGGAAAUAGCCCCGAGAAAUCGGGAUUAAUGUCCCAUAUUAUUUUCUGAAUGCAUAUUUGGAAAAUGAAAGCUCCGGCGGUUAAAGAUGGGCAUGCGUGACAUUAGCUAGUUGGUGAGGUAACGGCCCACCAAGGCGACGAUGUCUAGGGGUCCUGAGAGGGUUAACCCCCAAACCUGUCAUGAGACACCGACCAGACUCUUACGGGAGGCAGCAGUAAGGAAUAUUGGGCAAUGGACGCAAGUCUGACCCAGCCAUGCCGCGUGAAGGAUGAAUGUCCUAUUGAUUGUAAACUUCUUUUGUGCAAGAAAAACCCCUCGGUUUCGUACCGGGGCUGAUUGUAUUGCACGAAUAAGCAUCGGCUAACUCCGUGCCAGCAGCCGCGGUAACAC